CGAGGUGUAGCGCAGCUGGUAGCGCGCCUGCUUUGGGAGCAGGAUGUCGCAAGUUCGAGUCUUGUCACCUCGACCA
rnacentral:tRNA from 1 species